AUUUUGGCAUCAGAUUUUGUGAUCGCUCUUUAACUGAUAUCUCUUACUUCAUUUUCCUUUUCCACUGAGUCAGUAAUGAGUGUAAUUAUCCUAAAAUACAUCUCUGAUCCUGAGCCACUGUAUUCUGAAACCUCACAGGCUCUGCCUGCCCAUGAGCACCUACCGUAACCUUCCUAAACUUGCCCUCUGAGUCCCUCCACUGCCUGCAAUAGUCCUAACCUCUGUCCCAGCACUCGCCUUAACAACCUCUUUCAUCAUCCAGUGUGACUUCUCGCUUUCCCAGUUCUUCUCUUCCACCUUCGCACCUUCGCUUAGUUCACUCCCGUGAAGCCCAGUGCCACAUGGCAGCAUCUUGAUGUGGUGCUGUGUCAAAGGAACAUCAACCCAGACCCCAAAAUGUAAAAUCAAUUAAAUAUUUACAGCGGUCUUUCAUGAAAACACCAAAAGGGAGAACAUGCUUGUAACACAUAGGAAAAGGCCCUAAAACUUGCCUUUUCCCAUUCCUUUCCUUCAUUUUUUCCCCACGUGUCAAGGCUGACCUGAAGUCUCUCUCCUCCCAGCUCUAAGCUCCUACUCCAAGGUUUCCUUCAAGCCCAUGUUCAGGUUCUUUUGUCUCCCUAUCUCACUAAGCUUUUCAUACCUGUAUCAUUUCAGCCUCCAGGCUUCUUUGAAUUUUCCCAUCAGAGCCCCAGAGCUGACCCAACAAGCAAAAAUUUCUUCCUCAUUAGAAGACAGGAAACCACUGAAGCCACCAGAGGCAAGAAUGGCAUCUCCAGACUCCUGGGGGAAAGUUCAUUGAGUUGCUAGUUGAAGAAUCUGGGGACACCUGAAUAGUCUCCUCCACAUCUCUAUUUUACCAGCCUUGGGUCGUUUAAUCUCCUCCGCCUACCUCUACUGCUAUGUGUAAUAUUUUUCCUCAGCAACUGCAACCCUACUUGAUCAUUUUAAGAAAGGGAAUUCUUAAGUCCCUUUGUAGCUCAGAAAAGCGUGUUCUCUCAUAUACAUCUUUCCUUUUACUGCUAGGCUAUUAGUUCUGACUUCAACUGCUUCUUCUGAAUAGAUUCCCAACUGUUGUGUCCUGAAGGACUGUGUUGCCUUUCUCACUUACUCCUUCAUUAGAACUUUUCCUCUGUCUGCUCCUCUUCACACCUCUCUCAGCCUCUGAGAUAGUCAGCAGUUCAGAAUAUGGUUAGAUUAUAUUUGCCCAGACACUGAUACCUCAUGCUUGUCUUUGUGGAUAUUAGAAAGAUAAGGCAUUAGGAGUCAGAGACUUGGGUGUCAAUCCUGAUGUAAUCAUAAAUAAAGUGACUGAGUUUCAAGCA
rnacentral:lncRNA from 1 species